GCGCACACGUGCAUGCGCGCAGCUGGACAGCCGGAGGAGGCACUCCUAGCUUUAAUCCGAGCAAAGCCGGUGGGGGCGUGACCACAGGUAACCUGUACCCAUAGCAAUGGUGGCGGUUUGAGAUGAAAUAAGUACACACGGUUUCCAGCGCUCCGCAAACCCAUAACCUAGGCGGAGAGACAGCUGAAAGCCUGAGACUGGAAGUUGGGAAACCCGGCAUCUUAGCCCCAGGUCUGUCUCCAGAAGACUCUCAGAUCCUGUAUAAAGUUCUCAAAACGCAACACUGUCAAGUCUGGAGUCCUUGGAAGCCCUUUCCCACACCCCUGUCAUCUCCCUUCUUCAUACAAUCUGGCAUGCGUUUGACAGACGAAGGAACCAUUCUUUGAAGAUGCCUAGUGACUUGACGAGGUCACCUGGCUGCUAGAAGUCUGAGCCAAACUGAAACCCUACAGCUCUUCUGACUCCCAAACCAGUGCUCUUCUCCUGACUCCCACCUCAGAAGCCGCAAGCCUCGCUUGGGGCAGUCACUCUGCAAUCUCCCUGGGAUCUGAACCUUUCCUCACCAUUGCCACCCACCCACCCCUGCACAGUGGACUUUCUCCCCUGGCUCUGGCUCUAAAAUGCUUCCACCAGGCCCUAGCAAGGUGGCCUCCCUCAACACUCCUUUCUACAACCAGACCAAGAGGAAGAAUUAACAAUGGAAGAAAAAAAAAAAAGGAAGAAAGAAAGAAAAAAGAAAGAGAACCAAAGAUCCCACUCCAUCUCAUUAAGAAAGUAAACAUAAGAGCCAUCUAAGUGUCUAAUUAAGCUUCUAAUUAGUCCCUGCUUGUUACUAAUGCAAAUUAGAUUACUCCGCUUAACUACAGCAUGUCCACAACACCCUUGUUAAUUGCGGCCUUUUGAAAUUAAAUUACUCCCUAAUUAGCAUAUCAAAGCCAUUGAUUCGGAGCUGGGAAAGAUGAGGGCAAGAGAAGCCGAAUGCCAAGUUUGGUUAAUCAGAGAUGGCUAAUUAAAUAGUGACGUCUUACGUGGGGGGGCCUGCUGGUUAAGGGGUGGGGGCGACUCAUCCAGGGCCUGAGUGGCCAUCUGGAGCCUGGUUCUGGUAGUGCCCUUGGCACCAGGGGGCUCCCGUGAGCAAAGGAGGGGCUCUGGCCAGCCUGGGACAGAUCACUGGUCUGGCCCUUCCUGGGGCCUUGACUGCUUUAGGCCUAACCUGUCCCUGACAGGCCCUGGGCCCUCUCUCUGUCUCCCCUCACAAUAUUUAGGUGUGGCAUUUACAGGGAUCUUGGGUACCAACUCAAGGGGCAUCUAAAACACAGCCACAUCCGAAUACAUAAGAUUCAGCAUCCUUCCUCACCUCUUUCCCUGUUCCAAAUGAGUUCCAGAAAGGUGACUUGUGCCUAGUUCUUCUCUAGUCCCCACCUGAGAUUCCAUUCUUGGAAGAGAGUCUCCCCUCUCCCCAACAAAAAGUAAAUAAGUUUGGGGGACAGGGAAGAGGGUGAUGAUAACUUUCACAGACAGGCUCACCUGGGCAGGGAUGGGCUGGUUUUAGCUUCAAACAGACUCCUGGAGACACAAGACCCUAUAAUUCCCGCCAUGGUAGAAAACGGGACAAUUGUCCCCCACCAUCCGUUUUUAACAGGUGUGUGGGAAUUCGAUUGGGGUCAGGGUGUCCUUAAAGGUCUUCUCUGAGCUCUAGUAGAGAGCUUGCAGAGUCUCGGAGACCACCCCCCUUCCCCCAGCUCUUCCUCGAAGAAUACUGAAGACAGGUGAAAUCUCCAAGACAGAACUACUAACCAAAAUGCCCUCAGGGGCAAGGCUGGUCACCUAGGAGGGCAGGUGAGAAGUGCAGGGCACUCAAUCCCAGUCUGUCUUUACCACACCCAGAAAUGCAGGCUGACUGUUGACAGGGUUCCGGUUUCUCAAAAGAGGCUAAAGUGGGGAUAUUUACGUGAAACGUGCCGUUGUAAUAAACUUUGUGUGGGCCAACAAAAAACUCAUAGGGGGUAAAGUUAGUCAAUUUGUGACCUCGGCCCUUGUGGCCAGCAUUCCAGAGAGGCAGGUUCCAGGUAACUAUGUGGCCCCGGGCAAGUUACAUUUCCACUCUACCCCAGGGUCCCUUGCUCGCCAAUUCAGAGUAACGCGUAUCACUGCCUAGAGGAUCUCUCAGGGGUGUUAUGAGGAUCAGAACAAGAAAGUAUGUGAAAUGGCAAGGCCCGGCUCCUCAGUCAGGGUCUGGUGACCACUUAGUUGUACCCUGUACCUGCCACAGCCCCCUCCCAGAUCGGGAUGUCUUCUAGAACCUUCCUCUUUCAUCUUCCAUUUACCUUCUUGUUCCUUCAGAUGCCUGCCUCAGCUCUUGGGCAGCCAGGAGGUAGCACACAUCUGUGCCCUCGCCCCCUACAGUGAUCGGCUCUAGCAGGGGCAAUGGCUCCUAACUGCCUCUUCUAAAAAAAGAUGAAUGAACAAAAUCCUGAUGGCUGACAUGUCCCUAGCCUGGUCCUCCAGUGUCCCCUCCCCCAUCUAGGGUGUGGGUGUCUAGUGGGAGAAGCUCCUUGGAGUCUGUCCCCAG